GGGUGCUCACACAAUUACGUGUGGCAGGUUGUGCGACGGUCGGGCCGCCUCG
rnacentral:ncRNA from 2 species